rnacentral:rRNA from 1 species
AGUGAACGCUGGCGGUAGGCCUAACACAUGCAAGUCGAACGGCAGCACAGGAGAGCUUGCUCUCUGGGUGGCGAGUGGCGGACGGGUGAGGAAUACAUCGGAAUCUGCCCAGUCGUGGGGGAUAACGUAGGGAAACUUACGCUAAUACCGCAUACGACCUUCGGGUGAAAGAGGGGGAUCGCAAGACCUCUCGCGAUUGGAUGAGCCGAUGUCGGAUUAGCUAGUUGGCGGGGUAAUGGCCCACCAAGGCGACGAUCCGUAGCUGGUCUGAGAGGAUGAUCAGCCACACUGGAACUGAGACACGGUCCAGACUCCUACGGGAGGCAGCAGUGGGGAAUAUUGGACAAUGGGCGCAAGCCUGAUCCAGCCAUACCGCGUGGGUGAAGAAGGCCUUCGGGUUGUAAAGCCCUUUUGUUGGGAAAGAAAUCUUUCAGGCUAAUACCCUGGGAGGAUGACGGUACCCAAAGAAUAGGCACCGGCUAACUUCGUG